rnacentral:tRNA from 1 species
GCUAGUGUAGCUCAAUUGGUAGAGCUACUGAUUUGUAAUCAGUAAGUUAUAGGUUCAAGUCCUUUCUCUAGCU